rnacentral:rRNA from 1 species
UACGUAGGCAGCAAGCGUUGUUCGGAAUUACUGGGCGUAAAGAGUGCGUAGGCGGUGUUCUAAGUCUGUUGUGAAAUCUCCCGGCUUAACUGGGAGGGUGCGGCGGAGACUGGAAUGCUAGAGUGUGGGAGAGGUAAGCGGAAUUCCUGGUGUAGCGGUGAAAUGCGUAGAUAUCAGGAGGAACACCUGUGGUGUAGACAGCUUACUGGACCACGACUGACGCUGAGACACGAAAGCGUGGGUAGCAAACAGG